rnacentral:lncRNA from 1 species
CAUAACUGCCACGUAUUAUUUUUAUUAAUUCCACAUAAGCUAUUUUGAUCAGACUCUUCAGCUGCAGAGCCAUCAGGAGAUCUCACAGCAGGCAACUGCGGAGGAGAGAUUGGAGAUUUACAUGCAGAAAAUCUUUCCUUCCUCAAGAAAUCCAACAAAGAAUCCUUGUAAGCACCAGGUGCAAGAAAACCAAGGUUUCCUUCUAGCUUAGAAGACACCGAGCUCCUUUUUGCAACGUGGUGUGUUGGUGACAGGAGAGUUCCAGGGGCUAAUGAGGAGACGCAGAAUCACAAUGAACCUAGUGACCAUUUCAAAUCUAAUCCAAGUAAGUAUUUUUCAUUUAUCUUUAAUCUGGUAUCUAAUCG